UGGACCCGUCUUUAUGACCUCUCUUCUAGGUUUUUCUUUCUAUUUGCUUUAAUCAGUGUAACUUUUGUUUUUUCAUUUUUAUUUGUGUGUGUGUGUGUGUGUGUGUGUGUGUGUGUGUGAGAGAGAGAGAGAGAGAGAGAGAGAGAGAGGGAGGGAGAGAGAGAAAGAAAGAAAGAAAGACAGACAGACAGACAGACAGAAAGACUGUAGAGAAAAAAAAAAAAGAGGCCAGGCGUGGUGGCUCACACCUUUAAUCCCAGCACUUGGGAGGCAGAGGCAGGUGGAUUUCUGAGUUCGAGGACAGACUGGUCUAUAGAGUGAGUUCCAGGACAGCCUGGGCUACACAGAGAAAUCCUGUCAAGUGUAGAGGCAAGAAGACAACUCUGAUUCUUCUUGGGUGGGUUCUGGUGUCACAUACAGCAAGUUGUUCUACCUGGUGGGCCACCUGACCAACCCACCUUUGCUGUUUUCUGUAUAUUGGUCAUUUUCUUUCAUUUUCAUUGUGUUGUAUGUUUUAAUUGAUUACAUUUUUGGAGACAGGGUCUCAUCAUGUAGCCCUGGCUGGCAUAGGCUGGCUUUGAACUCACAGAGAUCUGCUUCCUGUCUCCUGAGUGUUUGGAUUGAAGGUGUGAGGCACUGUGCCAAACUUGUAUGUUAUGUUUUGAAACAGGCUUGUGCUGUAUUGUAUUGGCAGACUGGGAACCAGCUGCGUAGCCCAGGCUGGCUGGUGACAGUUCUCCUUUGCCUCCUAGUAUUGUUCUAUGUAUGUGCGAGCCACUGUGACCUUCUUUGGUGGCUCUUUUUAAAAAGUAAUAUCUUAAAUCUAGACUAAGCUGACUGUGAACCUAUCCUCUUGCCUCAAGAGCUGGAUUUCUAAGGUAUGCCGCCAUUAUGAAUAUGCCAGUGUCUCCCCCACACCCAUCUUAACAGUUUAAGUUCAUGUAUUUGGUUAUUAAUCUCCUGUUAGUAUUGUAUAUAUAGCUUUUGUUUUCAAUAUUGAGCAUUUUAAAGUUUAUAAAGUUAUGUAUUUGAUUAUUAGUUUUUUAUUAGAGUUACAUAUAUAGUUUUUGUUUUUAAUAUUGACUGUAGGGGAAGGAUUUUAAUUUCUUUGAUUAGGAAGGAAUAAAUAUUUCUUGAUUGGGGUUUGUACUCAAAAGACUGGUGUUGGUGCAUAGCCCCUGUAAAUAUGUCACUGUAGACUCCCCGUUUCUGAGGUUCAUAUCUCCAAGAAUUGAGACUUUUGGGUAUUUUCAGAGCUAAUCCUCUUCGGCUUAUGUUGGUUGCUAUUAACUGGUUGGCCCAGAUUACUGUGCCAGAUGCGAAGUUCUGGUCUAGUGCCUGCCUAGCAAGCAGUUACAGUAGCUCAUUAAUGGUUAAAGUGAAGGCUUUUCUGGAAUUGCCAGCUAUUUUCUCAGAAGGGGUUAAAGUGCUGUGAGUUUAACUAAAUCCAGCUGCCUUGGGCAUUUGCCACUGGUAUGUAAGAGAAGGGGAGUGUGUGGCUCAGGAGAUAGAACUUGAACAGGAGAUUGCCAAGAGUGACCUGGCAUUGCCAGAUCAGUUAGUAUUUAUUUAUUCCAGGAUUGUUUGAACACCAUUAGAUUACUUAACCCUUCCCAAAGUUACACCAGGGAAAGUUAUUGUCUUCAUUUCCUGUAUUCAGAUACCCAAAUACUAAGUAAUUUAGUUAAGUUAUGGUUUAGUCUGAAAAUAUUCAGUACCUUAUUAACCCAGUCUUAAAUUGUCAUUAGCUUUAAGAGACUUCAUUAAGAAUGGGGUAGGGCCUAACCCUCAUCCUAUCUCUUUAAUCCCACCACUCGGGAGGCAGAGAGAGGCAGGUGGAUCUCUGAGUUCCAGGACAGUUAGGGCUAUACAUAGACAUCCUGUCUCAAG
rnacentral:lncRNA from 1 species